UACGUAGGAGGCGAGCGUUGUCCGGAAUUACUGGGCGUAAAGAGCGCGUAGGCGGCGCUGUACGACCGCUGUGAAAGCCCCCGGCUCAACUGGGGAGGGUCACCGGUAACGGCCGAGCUAUGAGUGCAGGAGAGGGAAGUGGAACUCCGGGAGUAGCGGUGAAAUGCGUAGAGACCCGGAGGAACACCAGUGGCGAAGGCGGCUUCCUGGUCUGCAACUGACGCUGUGGCGCGAAAGCUAGGGGAGCAAACGGG
rnacentral:rRNA from 1 species